GCGGGCAUAGUAUAGUGGUAAUACGCGUCCUUGCCAAGGACGUAUCACGGGUCCGAGCCCCGUUGCCCGCU
rnacentral:tRNA from 2 species